rnacentral:tRNA from 1 species
GUCGGAGUGGUGGAACCGGCAGACACGUACGUUUGAGGGGCGUAUGCUGAGAGGCGUAGGGGUUCAAGUCCCCUCUCCGACACCA